rnacentral:tRNA from 1 species
GGGGUUGUGGCUCAGCGGUAGAGCACUCGCCCAGCACGUGCGAGACCCUGGGUUCCAUCCUCAGCACCACA